CAGCCUUCGUAGUAACGUAAUAGUAAACAUACCAUUUAGAGCGCAUCACGUUCUAGUCUAAGGUCGUUACGUAUUUAAUGAAUUUCUUCCUCUGUGUAAUCCUAUCAAAUACUUACUAUUAUUAUCCCAAUUUGCAGAUUAGAAAACUGAUGCACAGAGAGGUGAAGUCAUUUCCCUAAGACUACACAGCUGGUAAACGACGCAGAUGAGAUAUAAAUCACGCAAGUGAGCCGAGUAUUUCAGUUAAUUUUCAGCACGACCAUGAGUGAGCCCAGGAAUCACUCCCAGCCUGGUGCCUGAGGCCCCCCGGGCAGUCGAAGGGAGCCCUGCACCAGGACAACCCCGGGGUCCCUGCCAGUCCCCUGCGGGCUCGCGCACCAGGAGCUCGUUCCCAGACGCACGGAUGCAGCAUUUGCGAAACAGAGCAUUCAGUUCGACCCCCGGCUGCCCAGCGGCACCUGAGACACGCGCUAAGUGUGACGAGGUGCGGCUGACGGGUUUGAGCUGACGUGUGCCUUCGGCAGGCGGAGACCCAGUUCCUUUGCUCAUCGGUCCUUCCCGCCUAUUUGGCGCAUUUCCAAGGCCUGACCGGAGCUUUGCACCCGCCUCUCUGCAGCCGUCACCCCAUGGAGGAAGAGUCUCACAGCUCCGACACACGGCUUCUCCAGACCCUAGGUGCUGCUUCAGCGCCUGCUAAACAUUCGUAAGGGCGUCAGGGCUGCCGUCAGAACUCUCAGGUCUCUGUUAGGGCUCUGUAAGCGUUACUCUGGGAAGGAGACUGCCUUUUCAGAGCUUCAGCUGUUCUUUGUAUAACAAAAGGUAGAAGUGGAACAGAUACAGUGUACAUUUUAUGGUCAAGAAGGAGCUUUAGAUGCAGUUAUUGACAGAA
rnacentral:lncRNA from 1 species